GUGGGGAAUAUUGGACAAUGGGCGAAAGCCUGAUCCAGCCAUGCCGCGUGUGUGAAGAAGGUCUUCGGAUUGUAAAGCACUUUAAGUUGGGAGGAAGGGCAGUAAGUUAAUACCUUGCUGUUUUGACGUUACCGACAGAAUAAGCACCGGCUAACUUCGUGCCAGCAGCCGCGGUAAUACGAAGGGUGCAAGCGUUAAUCGGAAUUACUGGGCGUAAAGCGCGCGUAGGUGGUUUUGUAAGUUGGAGGUGAAAUCCCCGGGCUCAACCUGGGAACUGCCACCAAAACUGCAUGACUAGAGUACGGUAGACGGUAGUGGAAUUUCCUGUGUAGCGGUGAGAUGCGUAGAUAUAGGAAGGAACACCAGUGGCGAAGGCGACUACCUGGACUGAUACUGACACUGAGGUGCGAAAGCGUGGGGAGCAAACAGGAUUAGAAACCCCGGUAGUCC
rnacentral:rRNA from 1 species